rnacentral:rRNA from 1 species
CUAGAGAGUAGUUGCGGUAGGCGGAAUGUAUGGUGUAGCGGUGAAAUGCUUAGAGAUCAUACAGAACACCGAUUGCGAAGGCAGCUUACCAAACUAUAUCUGACGUUGAGGCACGAAAGCGUGGGGAGCAAACAGGAUUAGAUACCCUGGUAGUCCACGCAGUAAACGAUGAUAACUCGCUGUCGGCGAUACACAGUCGGUGGCUAAGCGAAAGCGAUAAGUUAUCCACCUGGGGAGUACGUUCGCAAGAAUGAAACUCAAAGGAAUUGACGGGGGCCCGCACAAGCGGAGGAACAUGUGGUUUAAUUCGAUGAUACGCGAGGAACCUUACCCGGGCUUGAAAGUUAGCGACGGAUCUGGAAACAGGUCUUCCCUUCGGGGCGCGAAACUAGGUGCUGCAUGGUUGUCGUCAGCUCGUGCCGUGAGGUGUCGGGUUAAGUCCCAUAACGAGCGCAACCCCUACCGUUAGUUGCCAUCAGGUGAAGCUGGGCACUCUGGCGGGACUGCCGGUGUAAGCCGAGAGGAAGGUGGGGAUGACGUCAAAUCAGCACGGCCCUUACGUCCGGGGCUACACACGUGUUACAAUGGUAGGUACAGAGGGUCGCUACCCCGUGAGGGGAUGCCAAUCUCGAAAGCCUAUCUCAGUUCGGAUUGGAGGCUGAAACCCGCCUCCAUGAAGUUGGAUUCGCUAGUAAUCGCGCAUCAGCCAUGGCGCGGUGAAUACGUUCCCGGGCCUUGUACACACCGCCCGUCAAGCCAUGGGAGC